GAGAGAGAGCUACUGCCUUUAUAUGCCUACAAUGUGAUCAUUUGAGGCAUAUUCCUUCCUUUGAGAUCAUAUUAUUGAGAUUCUUUUAUAAUCCCCAUCAGUUUAUUCAAUGUCCAAUUCUUUGACAGAGAUAAAUUGGGGGGGGCAAUUUGAAAAGUAGCUUUGAGAAAAAAUAUUUUCUCAUCUCCAUGAAGUUCAACCAAAACAUAAAUUCUCAAGCAUCAGUUGUACUGGUCUGCGUAUCAUAAGGACAAUUGUUUUGUUUUAUAAUCAUUCUAGAAGUAUCUUGAAGCUUGUGGACUAUUGAUUCCCUUCUCCCUCCCCUGACUAUAUCUUACAUUUCCAGUAUCUCCAGUAUUUCUUCUACAGAAAGGAUUUCUCCAUUUCUUUAAGAUUAGUUUAAUAAGAACCUAACCAUACCAUUUUCUAUUUAAAAGUACGUUCUGCCUUUGUCAUAAAUUCUGUCUUCCCAAUAUCCUUUCUUUCAUAUAUAACUGUAUAGAUUUGCAGACAGAGCCUCCUUGUUCUAGCAAUUAGCAAGCUGAUCCUUUAAGGUUAUUGCUGCAGGACUGCGUGUUUUCAUUGAGUUCCAUAUUGCCCAAAUCGAUCACUUUUUCUUUAUUUUCUUACUUACUCAUUUACUCAGGAGCAUUCAAUGGGACUAGCUAUCUCCAUUUCUUUAAAUACUUGUUUCUCUUCAUUUAAACAGCAAAAUGAUGUCAAGCAUCACAGGCUGCUUUGUCCUAGUAUUACUUGGUAGUUUCUGACCCCUUUCUGGCAUCUGUAUUCUGAACCUUCUGAUUCUUGGACUUUGACCCCCCCUUUGAAAUCUAUAUUCAUACUUUAAAUGAUCUCAUCUGAUCCUCUGGUUUUAAGUGACAUCCAUACAUCAACAUUUCCUCAGUAAUCCCUAUAAUACAGGAUUCUUUUAAUCAGAUUUUACCUCACAUAGACACUCUCCCACCCAAGAUCACUACCUACUUUCAUAACAUGGAUUUAGUAUCUUACAUGUUCAAAAUAAAAUAUUUAACUUUGUUCCUGAUAACAAUUGAUUAGACACUUAGACCAACGCCUCCUCUUUCCAGUUCUAGAGCUAAAAGAAGUAAAGAGGAUAUAUCUUAAUUUUCCUAAAAAGCAGCAAAUUUUUGACAAGACAAGAAGGAAUCACUAUUCUAAGCUGGGGUGGAAAUGAAAUUGAGAAAGGCAAAUGAGUACAGCAGCUAUUGCACUGUGAGAAAAGCUGCCAACCUAUAUAGUGGGAGGAAACCUUGGCCACAUAUGUAUUUGACAGUGUAUUAGCCACAAUGCAUAAAUAACUAAAAAUAUUAAACAUCAAAAGAAUCAACCAAUCAAUAGAUGUGCCGAAUGGAUGGAACAGUUCUCAAAAGAAACACUGCAAAAGACAAUUGAAAAAGUGUUCACCAUUCUCAGGUAAGAGAAUACUGAAAAUAUAAGCUGCACUGAAAUCCCAUUUCACCUCUGUAAGAAUGGCCAGGAGCAUGCUACCUGAAAAUUACUAACAUCUAUUCUGUCAUAGGAGGAACUGCCUGAGGUUCUAGUUCGAGUUCAUUCACAACUGUGGACAUACACACUGUCUUUCCUCCUUGUCUUUAAUAUGACAGGUAGUAGUUUAAGAGAGUUCAGGAAAUUGAGCAAGGCCACUGAUUAUUUAGUGCAGGAAGCAUGACUCUACCAUUUACCUUUAUGAUUUAAAAAUCUACUCUCCAAGUCAUUACAUCAUUUAAAAAGAUUUAUCUUUAUUUUAUGUGUGUGUGUGUGUUUGCCUGGUUGUAUAUAAGUGCACUGCAUUUAUGUCUGGGAUCCACAGGGACUAGAGAUGGCACAGAUCUUCUGGGACUACAGUAAAAGACAGUUGUAAGACACCCACCUUGUCUUGUCAAUGGCAGUGGGUGCUCUUAACCACUGAGCUCUCUCCAACCUACCUCCAACCCAUUAUCCCCCAGUCAAUAGUCUUACAAGGUUUUCUUAUGAAUAUCAACCAAGGAAGCUCCACCAGCCAAACCCUGAAGCUUUGCACAGAUCUCUGGUUAAAUUUUGCCAUUAUUUCUCUAUGGGUGUGGACCUGCCCAUACCAGCAGUUCUGUCUGUGGUAGUGUGCUGAAUUUGCAGGUCCUGAGGUUUCCUUGGCAGGCUGCCAUCCAUUCUCACCUUCUCAGGCUUGUGGCUACAACAGUUGGCACACCAUUUUCCUGCCUGCUCUUUCUAAACAUUUCUUCCAUCUGAUUAGUAAUUUAAAAUCUCCCUGUUGUGUUUGUUGAUCUCCACCUGCUUGUUGCUUUUCCUGUGUUUAGAGGUUGAAAUGCUGUGUUGGUGCAAACUUAACAAGACACACAUCCUUUGGAACUACCCAGAUGGCAGAGCACAGGAUGAGAGUCACACGGCUCAGUUUCAUUGAGUUCAUCUCUGCACUAAGGAUUCCACAUUCAAAGUUAGAGUUCAGUUGCCCAAAACUGGCUAAUAAUGAUUUCAAUAAAAAUAUCUUUUCAUUUGCUGACUGCAACCCCAAUAAACAACUGGCUUCUAUCAAGUCUCAGAAUAAGUUUCUUUCCAAAGAGGGACUUUGAAAAAAAUCUUUAAAAGACAAUGCAUACCAAAGGAAGCUACUUGUAUUUCCUGGGUGAGCUUGGGCCACUGGGAACCUGAAAGGUUGGGAAUACAUACUCUGAACCAAAACACCAGAGAUUACAUUUUAGCCUCUUAAAUUUAUUGAGAAGUCACUGGAGUGGUUGUCAGUGCUCAGAAUAUUGUACUAACACAAAAGAAAUGCUAACCUUGACAUGAAAGUAAUCGACCACAAGCAGAAAGGCUUUAUUGGACAGAUGUAGACUCUUCAAAGCACAGCUAAUAUUUUGUUUGUUUCUUAUCAAAGUUAUUUGCCUAUUUCACUAUUGGAUUCCUACUAAUGACAAUGCCUAGGAGGUACCCCAUUGUUUUAGGAGGCAGGUUUACAACUUCAGUUCUCAGCAUUUCAGUUCACAUACCUCUGGUUUUAUUUGUUUACUCCUACAUCAGUUUGGCCAAUUGUGUUCAUGGCACUAGACCUUCACCUCAAAUAAAACAUAAGUACUUCAGACAUCUUAAACAGUAGCAUCUUAGCUCUGUCCCUAGCACUUGUUCUAUCUGUUAGACCGUGAUAGGUGGAGGAGAUGUGAAAACAAAAGAAAGACUGGGCCAGCCCCAACAAUUGCAGAUUGCCUUCAUGGCAACAGUCUGAACAGGAGUGGAGACUGUGCAUACACACCUAGGCACAAUGAAGUUGAAGAUUUCACAGGGCUGAAAAGAGAACUGUGGUUGAGGUGUAAAAUUCAAUCUAUAGACCUGCAGUCUAUUUCCUGCAGUCUCAGGCCAGCAAAUGCUGGAGAUGUUCUAAUUAAAGUGUUGAGUUUCUCAUCAGGAGUUGCUCAGCUCAUGGCUACUGGCAGUGUCCUUACUAAUAUGCUAACUCUCAAGCAUCCUUCAACUAUCCUAUAGUUCUUUCUUUUACGUCAUUAACCCUUUAGUGUCCCCCCUUUCAUCUUGACUUUGUUCUGUUUCCCUCAUCUCAUGACCUCACCACUAGCUCUCAUAUUGUUAGAGCUCAGAAAAUCACCAAUUUCUUAAUUUUAAAUAAACUUUUAGCGAAUUGGACAAGAAAUUCUUUGCACCUUAGAAAUAUUGUGGAAUGUCUGGAUUUUUUUUCUCAUUUUCUUUCCCACACUUAAACUUUUAUUUUUUUCCCCCAGACAAUAAAGCACUCGGUGACCAUACUUUACGGUUUAAUAAACCAACUUAGCGUUUUAAAAUCCUUACCAUUUUGAUCAUCGAACUUCCCUUCACUCCUCAGUGCACCAUAGGCUGAAUUUUGCUCCUUAGUCAAAUGAAACCCUUCUCCCCAGAAAACCAAAGACAAUUAACACCCGUUUUGUGAUGUCAUCCUUGACAUACACACUCAAUGCAAUUGACAACUUUUUCUGUCUUAAAUUCCGCCUGAUGGAAACUUGCAUACCACUCUUCUUCCCGUCGAUAUUUCUUUCCUCCUCCGCCCUCCUGUCUUUCCACUGUUCAGUUUUAACCAUGGCUCUUCUUUCCUCUCACUCUACCUACCCUCAGGCAUUUCCUGUAAGUUGCUUUUUUUGUUGUUGUUAGUUUUGGUUUUUAAAGCAGGGGUUCAUGUAGUCCAGACUGGCCUCAAACUCACUGUGUAGCACCCAGAACAACUUUGAACUUCUGAUCUUCCUGUUUCCACAUUCCAAGUGCUAGGAUGACUAUUGUAUACCACCGUGCCUAAUGAACUUGGUAAUGGGGCUCAAACUCGAUGUUUUGAGCAUGGUACUAUACCAAUUGAGCUACUUGCCUACCCCCUUCAAUUCCUUGUAUACUUUUCUUUCUUUCAACCCAAAUUACUGCCAUAACUUCUUCUAAUUGUGUUGCUGCUAUUGAUCUACGUUUCAGUCUUCUGUAAUUAAAACUUUCUCUGACUCGUUAGAUAAAGAUGAGAUACAUAUAAACAACAUGGAAAAACUUCCAGUUUUUGUACUUCCUUCUCAUUUUGGCAUGCCACUGGUCCACCUCAAGAUAAAUCACCUGUAUGUAGCCCUUUCUUUGUGUCGUGUUUUGUCUUUGAAUUUCUCCUUUCUCUGCCAGGAAAGCUCCUGCUGAUCUUUCCACGUUCCCUCUAUGUUUUGUCUUUUGAGGGGCUUGUGUUUGCUACUGCGACUCUGUGUGUAGUUCUCUUUAGAGAACUAUGUAGAUAUCUCAUUACAUGUGGACUCUCAGUUUCUUAGGAAUGUGAAUGGAAGUUUGUUAGUCAGGCAUAGAAUUUCAAAUGAUGCAGAAUGCUCAAUUAAUAUUUGUGGACUAUCCAGGUGGAUAAAAUUAUAAAUAUCAGGUGAGCAUUGAGCUACUUAUCCUUUUAAAUGUCAGCUUUGGAAUCAUGUAAUUCUAAAGAGAGUUUUGUUUCUAAUACUAAGGAAUCAAAUAUUAAUACUUUUGCCUUGCAUACCCAGCAUCUGUGCUUUCUAGAGCUCAUAUAUUUUAUGUAGUGAUGCAAUCUUUUCCAAAUAAUUCCACUGAGGAUAUGUACAGAAAAACAACAAGUAAAUGCCCCAGAGAACAGCAGAAUCCUAUUAAAAAUUUGAGUUGAAAAAUGUAGGAUUUUAAAACUUUAAAAGGAAGCUAUUUAGCUGAACAAUUUGGUCUAGCGUAGUUUAGCAUACUGCCAGCUUCAUCAAGAAAAUUUAAGGUCUAAGAAAAAGCAGCUCACAAUUCACAUAAAGUUAGCUUUCAUCUCCUAAAUAUUGGCCUGAUAAUGUCUUGGUUUAAACUUUUCAUUCAUUCCAGUCAACAGGGCUUGCUAAUGAAAACUUUAGGAAGCACAUUCAAAUGUACAAAUCAUCCACAGUGUGGUCUUUAGCCAUAUUUUCAUAGGCAAGCUGUAAUGAAAGAACUGAAUUUUAGUGCCCCCCCUUGAGUGAAGCCAAGUUAGGCUACAAACACCCUUCCUGUCCACAGAGUGAUGCUGGCACAAAUUUGCUCCGGUACAUUAAUUUUUCCAUCCUAACUUUGUGGGCAGGGACAAGCUUGCAGCUCUCUGUGGAUACAGAUCUAGGGAUGCUGAGAAGAGCACAGGUAUUUUAUGGUUUGGUCAGAUAUAUAUUCCAGCACUUUUGGAAGAAGAAAAAAGCAUCAAACCCAAUUUGAGCUAAUAAACUAAUGACUGCUAUCCCUAAUGACUGAGCUUCAAAGGAGAUCUUAAUUAAGUGACUCAGUUAUUAUUAUAUUGCCAUGUAUUUUUUAUUCCUUCCUGUUAAAUCAUGCAUUUGGUGUUAUAUAGAAUCUCUAUGCUUAUUAAAAAAUAACUAGUAUGCAUGAGCUUAUGAAAGGGAACUUCACUCAGAUUUUUAAAAAGCAAAUGAAAACCUUCAAAUCUAACUGGGGCCAUAUGGUAUACUCAGAAACACUUGUGAAAGGAAAGUUAAACCUUGAAUAUAUUGAUGAUUUUACUGAAAGGGAAAAAGUCUCUUUUCCAUCUUUGCGUCUGAAAACACUUUUGAAUCAAGCAUUAGGAACACAUUUCUGUAGAAGAAACUGAAUUCGGUAACAUAUAUCUAAUAUUAUGUUUAUAAAUAGUACAUGGUUUUGAAUAACACAAAAGCUUAACAUUCUGCCUUAAAACUGUUCUAGAGGCUUAAAAAUAUCUACAACUUAUUUUCCAUUUGCAUUUCUUCAUUGUGUCUUGCAAAUUCUUUUACCUUGUCUUUAUACAAAGACAAAAACCCAGCAAACCAGGUGUACUGCAUACGUACUUACAUGACUCUAGAAGUGCAAAUUUCCAUUGACUUGCCACUCAUUGGUUUUGCCUCCUCAUAAAUCUCUUAUACAUAAUUUAUACUAAUAUGUAAAUAAUAUACUAUGUUCUUGGUUAUUUGUUUUCCUUCCUUUCAAAUUGCAAAUGUGAACCUUGCAGAAAAACAAACAAAAAUCAAGAAUAUAUCACACUAAUGGAGAAUGUCUCUGGGUUGGAUGGCGAACAGUAAGCAGCCUUAGUGCUCAUUGAAACCAGAAGUACUUUCUCUUUAUGUACUGAAAAGUAAGCUUGUGAGUCUCUUACAUUGAUACCAUAUCCACUGGUACAUGUGCCUUUUUACUUCUUAUAGUAGUAAUAAGCAGAGCCCACGUAUUAAGACAGCAUCAUGCUGUGCUAUUAAAACUAAGGACAUUGUUUCUGGCAGGAUCUUCUUGCCCAGUCUGUUGUGAGAGAUAAGGAUUUGCUGUGCUACACCUUCAUGGAGGGGCAGAAAGAGACAAUCCUUCUUUGACAGAUAUCCAGAGCUUUCUAGGUGAUAAGUCAGGAUAGCAUUGAGUAAAAUAUUUAAUUUGGAUAUAAACAAAAUGAUUGCUUAUCAGCCAGGAGCAGCAAAGUAUUUAGUUGAUUUAGUUAACACUUAAUAAUAUGCAUGAGUUCCAGAAUGAGUCUUUAUAUUUUAACAUAUGAAUAGUUUAACACACCUGAAAAGAAUAAAGAUCUGUAAAUGACAAAAUGUGAAGGGUCAAAGAAGUUAAUAUGGCAACUUUUGUAAGUACAAAAAGAUUCUUAAUAAGCAUACUAGUCAUUUGAAGGAACAAUUGACAUUAAAAUUACAUAUCUAAACUGAGAACAUUGUUUAGACAUCUUGGCAUAAACUGAAAUUGGAUGUGGCAAUAAAAAUAGAAUUCCUGAGUAUUUAAUCACCUUGUCAUUCACAGUUUUCUCAUGGAAGCACAAACAGAGAUAUCUGCAGGUGGAACUUUUCUCCUGGUGAAGAUCUCUAAUUCCAUUGUUUGGAAUUAUGACUCCACCCCAGCCAAGUGGACAUGUUCUCCUGGUGGAGAGCUAUAAUCCCAUUGUUUGGCACUAUGACUCCAUCUCUAGCUUACAUUGCAAAAAACACUCAAAUAAAUGAAUAGCUAUGAAGAAAAGAAUGCUCAGGGCAAAAAAUAUAUUACCAAUAGACAAAAACUCUGAAUUCUGUGGGUGUAGAGCAAGUUAGAAGUCCCAUAAGGCAGAAACCAUGAGGUAUGAGAAGACCAAGGCUACAGAGACUAACUCUUGUCAAGAUUCCCCAAAGCAUCAUCCAUUCUCACUGAAUUGUCAAUCAUCAGAAUAAGAACAUCUAGCAAGAAUAAAUGUUCUCAUGCAAAGUAGAGAGAGGUGAGAACCCAUGGGGAAAGAAACUGGGUCUCAGAUGAAGUUCAGGAAAGAAUGGGAAAACAAGCAAGCAGGCCCCACUAAGAAUGUUAUAGAAAGACAAAAACUACCAAACAAAAAAAUGUUUAACAGUUUGGAGUGACGGUGUCUUUGAUAGCAAGGAAGAUACAGUUCACUAUUGCUAAACAGAUUCCCCAGGAACGUGAAGUUCCCACUCCUCAGACAAGAAAAAGGUGAGGCUCUUUAUAUAGUAGCUCAUAAUGACUUAUGUGUGCAGAAGAGGUAGGUGUGACUGUUCAAAAUUCCACUUUUUUCUCAUUUGAACAUUAAUUCAUAGGUAUAUUUGAUGAUAAGUUUAAAGUUGGCUAAAGUAUAUUAAUGCCUAAUCUCUAGCAUGCUAAAGAAUAAAUCUGCCUCAGAACUCAGCCCUAAACAGAAUAUAUGUACUCCAUUUCCUCUUCUUAGGGCUCAGGGAGGGUCAGAAGCUUCUGACCGUCAGAAGCAGUAGAUGGCUACCAGGAAAUGGGGUAUUCUGAAGACAGCAGGGAAGCUGCAUAUAUGCACUCACAGUGAGUGUUACAGUGUGCACAAGAUUUGUGUUAAGCCUAAGGCACAAGACUUGUAUUAAAUCCAAUCAUUGAAAGGAGGAACUGGGUAUGAAGUCCCAUCCAUAGCUGAGAAGCUCUGGCAUUUGUUAGCGAUUGAGAGAGAGAAAUUUAAUUUUUUCAAGGAAUAUAGCUACUUGUAGGUCAAGCAUAGUCUAAUACAUUCAAGACUAUUUGCUCAACAUAAAUUUGUCUUAUUGUUGGGGGAUGGGGGCACAAACUUAGGGUGAAAUUAAAAGAGGGUAGAUCUGGGAAGAGUUGGGGGAGGGGAGCUGACUAUGAUCAAAGCAUGUUAUAUAAAAUUCUCAUAGAAUUAAUAAAAUUAGAAAAAUUUUAAAAACAUAACUAGUCUUCAUAUUUCAAGACAGUUUUUGUCAUGUUACAAAAUGCACAUGGUUGGUUUUGAAGGCAAUCAAAAUCUCUCAUUUUUAAUCAUGUUUUUAAAACAUCAUUUUGUUAACAAUGUAUUUCCUAAUUUUCCAACUGCCUUAUUAUAUUUCUAGUUAAAUAAUUUUGCAUUCCACCUUUGUCAUAUACCAGAAUGGCUCAAAUAGUUCCAUGAUUUCAUGUACUCUUCGUAAUCAUUGAUUUUAAUGACUGCACAGCAUUAAAAUUUGUAGCUUUGCUAUAGUUAAUGGCAUUCAAUUGACUAUCUAAGUUGUUUUCUCUCUUUUAAGAGUAAAAUGUUAUUGUUAUUUCUGUGUAUGACACAUUUUGGUCUUUAUGUAAUAAGAAUACAGCAUAUUUCAUAAAAUAAAAUUUGAGGUCAAAGCUAUAAGUUGUAUGUAGUUUUAAUUACUUUUUACAAAUUUGCAAGCAAUGUAUGAAACUCAGAAAGAGAAACAAAGGGGAAGUAUUUAAUGAAAUGUUACAGCUUUCCUUCAUUUUCUGUCUCUUGUUCUCAUGGAUCUCCUUCAUUUUGUCCAUUCUGUUUACACAGCUUCUGUAAGUACAUAAGCACAUAUGAGUAAAGAUGCUUUCCUAUACAAAUAAUAUAUAUUAUCUAUAGUAUUGUUCCAUAACAUAUUUAUGUACUUCAUGGGAAGUCUUAUUUUUAACUGGAAGUUUUCAUUUUAUCUUUUCACAGUUUUAAAGUAUCUCAAAUUUCCUCAACGAAUCAUCUAAGCAUCAAUAUUUUAAUUUUAUGUACUAUAUAUGAAGUAAAAUUUCAGACACCUGUAUAGUACGUACAAUUAUCAUGCCUCCUUUCUACUUCUUUUUGUGAAGGUAACAGUUCGUCACUGAGAGGAAGUCAGGAACCUGGAGGCAGAGAUUGGAGUGGAGAUCACUGAGGAGUGCGACUUAUGGGCUUGCCAUCUGUGGCUUGCUCAGUUUGAUUUCUUACAGAAAACUAUGAUGUACAUUUUGCUUUAAAAUAAAUAUUUUAAAAGUCA